GCACAAGCGGUGGAGCAUGUGGUUCAAUUCGACGCAACGCGCAGAACCUUACCAGCCUUUGACAUCCCGGUCGCGAGCACCAGAGAUGGAGCUCUUCAGUUCGGCUGGACCGGAGACAGGUGCUGCAUGGCUGUCGUCAGCUCGUGUCGUGAGAUGUUGGGUUAAGUCCCGCAACGAGCGCAACCCUCGCCCUUAGUUGCCAUCAUUUAGUUGGGCACUCUAAGGGGACUGCCGGUGAUAAGCCGGAGGAAGGUGGGGAUGACGUCAAGUCCUCAUGGCCCUUACAGGCUGGGCUACACACGUGCUACAAUGGCGGUGACAGAGGGACGCAAAGGGGCAACCCUUCGCAAAUCUCAAAAAGCCGUCUCAGUUCGGAUUGUGCUCUGCAACUCGAGCACAUGAAGUUGGAAUCGCUAGUAAUCGCAGAUCAGCACGCUGCGGUGAAUACGUUCCCGGGC
rnacentral:rRNA from 1 species